ensembl:lincRNA
CUGUUUUUCUGGACAAACUUAAAAAUGCUGAAUCUUUGUAGUCAUUUAAGAAAUAAUUAAUGCCAUAUCUCAAGGUACGCAAAGCUCAGAAGCGGUCUGGGUGAGCAUGGGUGUAGGAGACUGCUUGGCCCUGUUGUGGGCACCCUUGCCAUUGUCCUUAGCCCAUCAGAGACAGGCACUCCUAUUUCGUGUCAGAGGUUCUGCUUCAUUAGUGAUCACAAAGCAAAUGAUGAUGACACAAUCAGAAGUGUCAGAUGACAGGCACUUAUGCAGCCACCCUUCCACGAAUGAUUCCCUAUUUUCUUCUUGUUGUCUGAUCUCCUACUGGAUGAAGUCUAUAACUUCCUGGCUCCUCAUACAUCCCAAAUACCAUCACAGAAAUCAAAAGAACUUAUAUGAGUUUGUUUGACCCUGGGCUUUCUCUCAGGCAACAAGCUAAAGGAAACAUAAAGUCCAGAAGCAAUUAUUUAAUGGUAUGCAUAUGCAAGAAAGAGUUGUCAGCAGAAGCAUCUAGCACAGAAAGAACGCUCUGUCAAGGAGGUAUAUGCCAAACAAGCCAACUUAAAUUCAGCCAGUCAGCAAACAGGAAUAUCUGUCAGUUUGCAAGAGAAUAUUUUGCUUUCAUUGGACAAACAAUGCUCUUCUUCUGUUAUAAAUGACAUUACUUAGCUUGACAUAACAAGGUGCUUUAAACAAAGGACUCACUUAAAGGAAGAAAUAUUUAUUUGAUUAACUUGAAGAAACUGAAACAUGGUAAGAUUGAUAUAAAGAGGCAAAAACAAUCCUACUUAGAAUAGCUAAGUAUGAGCAGCAGAUUGACAUACACAGAAAACAUUGUGAUAGACAAAGGGGAGAAAUGCAGCCUGUGGCUGUCUUAAUAAUCCAGUUUGACUAACUGCAGGGCCAAAUGUAACCAACUGUGGAGAAAUCUCAUUCUUGGUGGUAAACAAAUAAAAAUUGAGAUAAACUAAAACUUGCUUGUUUAAUAGUCCUAUAAAAUUAUCGGCUGCGCAUGGUGGCUCAUGCCUGUAAUCCCAGAACUUUGAGAGGCUGAGGUGGGUGGAUC